CAGGCCUAACACAUGCAAGUCGAGCGCCCGCAAGGGAGCGGCAGACGGGUGAGUAACACGUGGGAACCUACCCUUUCCUACGGAAUAACACAGAGAAAUUUGUGCUAAUACCGUAUACGCCCUUCGGGGGAAAGAUUUAUCGGGGAAGGAUGGGCCCGCGUCCGAUUAGCUAGUUGGUGGGGUAAUGGCCUACCAAGGCGACGAUCGGUAGCUGGUCUGAGAGGAUGAUCAGCCACAUUGGGACUGAGACACGGCCCAAACUCCUACGGGAGGCAGCAGUGGGGAAUAUUGGACAAUGGGCGCAAGCCUGAUCCAGCCAUGCCGCGUGAGUGAUGAAGGCCUUAGGGUUGUAAAGCUCUUUCACCCACGACGAUAAUGACGGUAGUGGGAGAAGAAGCCCCGGCUAACUUCGUGCCAGCAGCCGCGGUAAUACGAAGGGGGCUAGCGUUGUUCGGAAUCACUGGGCGUAAAGCGUACGUAGGCGGACCGUUAAGUCGGAGGUGAAAGCCUGGGGCUCAACCCCAGAAUUGCCUUCGAUACUGGCGGUCUCGAGUCCGGGAGAGGUGAGUGGAACUGCCAGUGUAGAGGUGAAAUUCGUAGAUAUUGGCAAGAACACCAGUGGCGAAGGCGGCUCACUGGCCCGGUACUGACGCUGAGGUACGAAAGCGUGGGGAGCAAACAGGAUUAGAUACCCCUGGUAGUCCACGCCGUAAACGAUGGAAGCCAGCCGUCGGGCAGCAUGCUGUUCGGUGGGCGCAGCUAACGCUUUGAGCUUCCCGCCUGGGGAGUACGGUCGCAAGAUUAAAACUCAAAGGAAUUGACGGGGGCCCGCACAAGCGGUGG
rnacentral:rRNA from 1 species